rnacentral:lncRNA from 1 species
GUUAAACUGAGAUUGCAACAAGUACUAGGCGCCCUCUUGUUCACCAGUAGUCUGAAUAACAUGUUUCAGCUUGUCAAUAAUUUGAUUUAUUACAGGAUCUGCUCCUUUCACUCUUACUUCUGGAUUCCCAGACUGAGCUUUGAUUCCACUACCAACCACACGAUGAGUAUAGCUUUUUACAACAUCUUCUCCAUUCCAACAUGGGAGACCAUCGGCAGCUGCCAACUCAUUACCACACAGCUGAU